rnacentral:rRNA from 1 species
GUGCAGCAGGCGAGAAUCCUUCGCAAUGCGGGAAACCGCGACGAGGGGACUCCCAGUGCCUACGCUCAGCGUAGGCUGUUCCCGAGCCUAGAAAGCUCGGGGAGUAAGGGCUGGGUAAGACGGGUGCCAGCCGCCGCGGUAAUACCCGCAGCCCGAGUGGUGGCCACUAUUAUUGGGCCUAAAGCGUCCGUAGCCGGCCCGGUAAAUGCCUGGGUAAAUCGUGAGGCCUAACCUCACGAAUUCCGGGUAGACUGCCGGGCUAGGGACCGGAGGAGGGAGAGGGUACUCCAGGGGUAGGGGUGAAAUCCUGUAAUCCCUGGAGGACCACCGGUGGCGAAGGCGCUCUCCUAGGACGGGUCCGACGGUGAGGGACGAAAGCCAGGGGAGCGAACCGGAUUAGAUACCCGGGUAGU